UGGACCUAUGAUGAUGAUUGGUGGCAUAUGAUGCUUGAAUGAUAGGUAUCUGGAAGUCUGAGGUGAAA
rnacentral:snoRNA from 1 species